CUCCUAAGGAGGAAGGGCCUCUAUCUGGAGAUUGCUUCUUUGGGAGCUAUUCUGUGAGCCCAGGAAAUGGGAUUCAUCCACACUUCAACCAAUCUGUUCUGCCUUCUGCUGAUCCCUGCAUUUUGCUCCAAUGCUCUAAAUGAAAGCCUUUCCCACAGUGACCAAAAUGACCACUUUGUAUACCACAUGAGUGAUGCUUUUAAUUUCUCUCUCUGCUACUUCAGACACGUAUUAGAAAAUAAAUGGUUAUAACCGUACACUUCUGGAAACAUAAAUAAGUGUGCCACUUCCACUGAGCACAUUCACAUCAUGAUGAGCCCAGUCUGCAAAGAGAACCUUAUUUUAACAUACUUGACCAAAUUCUACAUCAAAUCAUAUUCUCAGACAUUUACAUAUUGCUGCAUAGAUGAGGACAAAUUUUGUACCACAAUACUGAGAAUUACUCUGUUUGAUAUCACAGUUUCAGUCCUGAGAGGCUUGUACCAGAGAUGGAAAGACUCAUGUUGCCACAGUAGAAACAGAGGAAACUUAUGGAGUGUUUUUUUAUCACCAGAAGGCAGAAAACUGCAACUACAUAACAGCUCUGAUUUUAAAAUGCACAUCAUUUUAUGUGAGGAUAUUUUCUAUACCUAGACCAAAUAUCACCUUUAAAUGAAUGCUUUAAGCACAUGAAAUGUCACUGUAAUGUGUAAAUGUACAAUGAAAGAUCUUCAAAGAUUUUCACAGAUCCUAUUAGAAAAAAUGCUUACAUAUGAGUCAUUUCGCUUUUCGGUUUUAUACUCUGUAGUCUAUCCUUCUUUCUAAUUGCACAUUUUGUUGGUCUAACUUAUUUGUGCUAGAUGAAUCAGAUCAAACCACAUAACAGUCACAGUAUAAGAAUCCAUUUUCUUGGCACCUGUGUGAUCUUUUUUCUCUUCUUCUUUGUAAAUCCCUGAUAUGUCCUUGACAAGAAAUGUCUUAUUCAAUACACAUAUACUUAGUCUGAAAGAUUUCUGAGAAAGGUUUUUAUUUUAAACUGGUUGAAUGGACUAAUUUCUCUGUCACUAAAACAGUAGUAUAGUGUAACAGCAUUGUGUGUAGGUGGCUCCAAAAGUAAUGUCUCCUAAUUAUUUCUGUGGAAACUACAACAGAUAAAAAGAGCACAAUAACACCAUAUGAUAGAGCAAAUUCUCAGCUACAGAACAGUAUCUUUCAACAUAAUCACCACCAUUAGCUAUGCAUUUUCACCAGGAGUGAACAAGAGCCUGCAUACUGUACUCAUGAAAAUUUGCAAAGUUAUCUGUGACUUCUCUUGUCUUUCAUGUCGCUGUUGCAAAUAUUGAAAUGAAUCACCCAUUGCCUCACUGUGUUUACAUCCACAGUUUGGUCUCCAUAAACAUUCGCCAAGUGUUGAUGAAUGUCACUGGGUGAAAAUUAUUCUAGAGGGAGGAAUUGGAUCCCACACUUUGCUACAUAUGCACUUCCAUGUCAGAUACCAUUUUGUCAGCCUGCCCUUCUCUUCUCAUCUGUUACAUGGCAAGAAAAUGUAAUGGAAUAUUGGUGGGAAGGUUCAAAUCUACAGCUGUACCACCAGUAUCUGCCUCUGAAAUUAUGGGCCAUCACAAUAAAAUGAGAGGCAUUACUUUUGGAGCAGCCCUCAUAUUAAAAAUAAAUUAUUUUAUCUGGGACUGUACAACAUAUUCAAUAAUUUUCUUUGGUUUUUUUUUAACAUAUACCUAACCGUUAACUGGGAACUACAGUAUAGGAGGUUCACCAGUACCUUCCAGGAAAGUAAAUUGUUUCUUCAUCAGUGUAGUUUCAGCCAUGUUCCCUCACACAUCUGUUUAAAUAUCUUGUUACAAUUUCUAAUUAUGAUUGCAAACAGAAUAAAUAAGUUUUGCACACCUGAGGAUUUUUAAAAUGAAAUAUGUGGUUAUUAGACAGUUUCAAGAGUAAUACAGAAAAAAAUGUAGAAAUCCAAUUGCAAAUGUUACCUACUGAGCUGCAAAACCACAUAUUUGCCAUUUAAUUGAAGGUGUGUCUAGACAAAAUAAUUCAAUCUGUUUUAAUAACAUUAUUCAGUGUGAUUAAGAAAAAGUAGAUAUUUAUAUUUUGAUUUCCGUGAGUAGUCUAACAUGACAUUCCAAUUUUAAUAUUUAUACUGCAGCAUAUCAUUAGAACAUGCCUUCAGUGCUUUAUGGAAACCUGAGUGACAGACCUCAAAAAGCUAAUGUGAAAUUAUCAAAUAAUAUGCUGUUAGGGGGAAAAAAAAAUUGCAAUCCUCUAAAAGGAUGCUCUUAGCUCCUGCAUUGUUCAGCGUUUUACAUUUGAUAACCUAGACUCUCGUCCUCAAAAGGCUGACUGUCAUUCAGAUCUCAACUGAUUAACAUAGAGAAUGGUGAGGUGCUGGAACAGGCUGUUCAGAGAGGUUUUGGAUGAUCCCUUACAACCCAAGCCAUUCUGAUUCUAUAAUUCUAUGAACAUGAAAGAAACUGAAGAUAAAUGACUUUCUCUGUAAGCCCCGUGCAAAAGUACUAGUCCCCUUCUCCUUAUGCUACUAGCUGCACCCAUAUGAUAGCCCUAGGUAUGUAACUAAAUGAUUCUUUUUGUAGCUUUUUCCUCUUUUUCCUCCAUUAGUCUUCCCUUACUGGCCUAUGUUCUCUCUAUUCAUUCUUUGAAUCUCCAUGUUAGGAAGCAGUAUGUCCUAGAGAUGUAACACAGAACUUAUUCCAAAUGUUUGACCAAAUAAUGUUAGAAGCCUUCAGUCAUCAUGAUUUUGCAUCAUUAGAAAUAUUUCUGAGAGUUAUUUUUGAAGACUCUGUUCACAGAAAGAAAAAUAUCUCACCUGAAAAUAGAUUUUGUAGCUUGGUAGAUUGAAUUAUAUUGUCUGAGUUUCUCUCUCUCCAUCCAAUAAAUCUUUCCAGGGAUCCUUUUCCACUUAUUGGGCUUUUGAAAAUUAGGGUGACUCUCAUAAGAGAUUUAGUUCCUUACUGUCUUUUAAGGGUCUGGGACUUCAGGCUAGUAGUGCAGUGUUAACACUUUGGUAUGUUUUAAUGUGUUGUACAGUUACAAUCUUCUCUUCUCAGUACUGCUUGCUUACAAAGUACAUCUACCAGUUUCUAAAGCUGAAUGACAAAUGCAUGAAAUUGACUCCAGAAUUUUACUUUAUGGCUGUAGUAGAAAUGCUAAGUCAUGGCCUGAAACAGUGAUUGAGCACCUGGUGGGAAGGCAGAGCCAACCCAGGGGAGCUCAGGUGCAUUGCAUGCACCUGAGUGACCAUAAGGGGUAGAGCAAGGAUCCACCUCUUCCCAGACCUCGUUUAAGAGUUGGCAGUGGAGGCAAAUGAAUGUUACUGGGAAUCCCUGCCUACCUGAGGUCUUCAAGGGGUAAGCAAAUUCUUUCAUUUGUUUCUGUGUCUAUGGGUGCUGCAUUUGAGCAUAUCCUUACCUCCUGCUAUCUAGGCCUUUGCUACUACACUGUCAUUGCUGCAUUUUCCAUCUUGUUACAGUGUUACACUGGCCCCCUAUGCAUUGCUGGUUUGUCUAUCAAGUAAGGAUUUUGUUGAGCAGACGCACAUAUAAAUUGUGUAAGUAUCAUCUUAUUUAUAAAUUAGUUGUAGAAGAGAAGCUUUGAGCACUUCAACUUCUUUAGUGAACUAAAGGUAUAAUGUAUACAUUAUUUAGUGAAAUACAUCCCAUUUUCCUUAGAAAAAAUCUGAUGGUAAAUCCACCCACCACAUAACAGAAUUUACAUUGCUGUAAGUAUAAUAACAUGUAUUUUGGAUAAUAUAUAAAGUCAUUUUAACUUAUUUUUUAUAGUAUAUUAUUUAUGAUAGAAAAUUAACAAUAAUGUAUCUUGAAAAAAAAAACCCUAUGAUUUGUAAGGAAAUUAAUAUAUUUGUGUACAAAUAUUGAUUUGUUAUAAAGAUCUGUAGAGCAAACAAAGGUGAUGACAGAUCCUUUAUUUGAGAAAUAGGUGCUCUAGGAAAAGAUAUCAAAGAAGUUAACUCAUCCCUCCCAGUAACAGUUUGUAGAAAGGGGAGAACUGAGGAAUGCAGCCUUCUCCUGUCCAUAACCUUGGGCUGCAGGAGAAAAGGGUGGGGGAAGGGGAACCCACGCAGACUCAAAUUACACACAUGCUCCCAGAAGCAUCGCUAUAGGAUGUGAUCCAGAAUCAGUGUUUACUUACAGCCCACAAUACUUAAGAUGCUCUCGUUUGUUCAACAAACCCUUAAGAUAUUAUUUUUUUACAACAGAGGUAACUGCAAAUAUUUAUCAAAACUGUAUUUAGUAGAUAAAGUGAAGAAAGAGAAACUGUUAUUAGUAUCUUCAGACUGCGUAUGUGAUUUUGAUAUAUAUAUAUAUGGAAUAAUUGUUCAUCUAAUGUAUCUACUAUCAAAUCUUUAUGACUUUUUGUACUUAGGCACAUCUUUGUUCAUAUCAGUGGAUUUCUCCACAACUAUGAGCAUGUUCCUAAUUCUAAAUCCUACAUGGAUAGAAAAGAUGAUAGACACACAUACUGUUGUCACAAUGGCAAUGCAUAUUCUUCACAGUCAUAUUUGCAGUCUGUGGAAAUUGAUGCCUUGCAAUGAUAACAGGAAAAGCACCAAAGAACAAAAUGAGAAAAAUAUUUAACAGCUAGAAGUGUUGGUUUCUCCAAAUGGUAUAAUGAGGGUGGAAAACCUCCCUGGUGCUAUUGAGGGAUUUCACAUCUUGAUUUUUAUGACAUACAACAUGUAAUUAAAAAUCUUUACUCUUCCUAUCUUAAUUAGAGGGAAAAAAAAAAAGUUUGAAAAAUACCUACUUUUCCCUGUAGGUGUCCUCUAGCUCCAUUUCCCCCGCUUGAGAAAUUUUACUCUGUGUAUUCUGCGUAUUCUGCAAUUAACAUUUCUAUAUUUACAAUUCCUCAUUAGUUAAUUCCAUAUUAGUAUUCAGUGAUACCAGUAUUAUUAUAUACUUCAAUGUUCUGUAGAUAAAGAUAAGUACUCAACUAAAAAAAAAAAUGUAUUGAUUCAGUACUCUUUCUCCUCCUUUAUUAAUAAUUCCUUAGGAUGCACUCUUGUAAGAGAUGCUUUCUGAAAUACAGUUAAUCUGUAUUCUAACACUUUAAAACUGAUAAUGACAGCUGCUAAAAACAUCAUGUAGUUCCGUAUCAACCAGAAUAGGGCUCUCCUUGUAAAGAAUAAAGCUUUGCUGUAAUUCUGAUCAGUGCUUUCUUCUCUGAUGUUACUGCUGCUAGCAAAAUUUCAUUAAUUGUUCCCCAAUAGACUCUCUAGCAGACAAGGGCAACAAUAUAUGAAAUAUGAAAUUUACUUUAGUCAUUAGAAAUAUCAUUGUACAAAAAGUAUUUCUCAUCUGAAAAGAAAAUAAUCAAAGAAAUAAUAUUUUAGAAGGAUCUUUCUGCUUACACAGAACUUCAUUGAUUUUUUUUUUUACUUCAUUUAAUCAAUAAGAAAAUACAGAUUAUUGGAAUUCAUUACAGUCCAUGAUUAUCUAGCCUGUCUUCCAACAAAAUAAAGAGUUAAGAAUCCCUUGAAUUAAUUCCUGCUUGAUCUCAACUAUAUCUCCUAACAAUAUGGUAUAGAUUUAUAAAUAUUCCCUUGAGAUGGCAUAUCCAGUAACUAAAUGCUUACUAUAGGCAAUUAUGUUCCUUCGUUGCUAGUACUCUGUUAAUAGAUUUAUAUUCCCUGGAAAUUGCAUAUUGAUUAAGUUAGGGUCACCCCCAUAAACUUGUCUUUUAUAAGACAAAUUGUUCGGGCUAUAUAUUUCAGGGAAAGCUCGGUUUUUCAUAUCUUUAUCAUUCUCAAGGCUCUUCUCUCAACCCUGUCCAGUUUCUCAGCAUUCUUUCUGAACUGCAGAUACUGAACCCUGUCUUUCAGCAGCAAUCAUUCUACUCUCAAAUAUGGAAUAUACUCAUUUAACACCUCCCGAGUGUGUGUCUUCCUCUAUAUCUGAAAGUUUUUUGCCUCAAGUUGAAGGAAGUUGGCUCUUCCAGUCCGCUGACAAAAAAUCAUAAGAUAUGUGUAGAAAAGGGCCUAUUUCUUUAGGAGACAUAACAAUGCAGAUCUUGCUACGUGCCUUCUAGAACUGUAAACCAUCUGUGUUGUGUUGUUUUUUUGUUUGUUUGUUUGUUUUUCUUUUUGAAUACAGUAACAAUGUUGCCUUUCUUCUUUUGUGGAAAUUUUGCAAUGCUCCAGAUCUUUUGAAAGCUGAUAACAAUGUUCAGUAGAGCUGCUUUAUGUGGGUAUAAAAUGUCUAGUAGUUGUAUCUUAUGUUUAUUUUAUUUCUCCCAUCAAUCUAAAAAGCAGAAGUUAUUGGUAAGUAGCAUUCAGGUUUGGAAAAUGCACUUAAAAUUACAUCAGCUCACUUCUAAAAGACUAAAGCUAUAUUCAGCAGCUGGGUGGAUUAAUACAGAUCAUUUAAACAGGUGAAACUGAUAUUAGCUCUCAGUCCACAGAGAUAAAGGGCCUAGAGUGUAGAUGACGGUUUAAACUAAAACAAGGUCCUUCUUUGAAGUCUUCUGAUUUUUUCUUUUCCACCAAGCUGCUAAGAAAUGGUACAAGUAUUGAGUAGAUGUGAGUUUACAGCCUUUUUAAAUGUACAUCUUAAAUUUUUCUAGUAGCAAUGAAUUCUCAUCAUUUAAAGCAUCAGUUAAAUAAGGCAGUUAUUUGUGGUACUAAGAGGAUUAAAUUCCUAUCUUUUCCAUGUCAGUCAUUUUAAAACCCUUUUUAUUAUCAAGAUGGCUUACUUCCUCACACACAUUUAAUUUCAAACAUCUUAAAGCUAUAUUCACUUUUAAGCCUAGCAAGUCCAUUGCAAGAUUCAGAACUUUGCUUUGGUAUAAAUCCUGAUUUCAGAGCCUGAAAUAUCUUACCUUCAUUCAAAGUUCCUGGAAACAAACAUGUUACUAGGGAGCUGUAAAACUUUAAGGUUGGCAUCGUGAUCCCAGCUUCUGAUACUGUCAUAGACUUCUCCAUCCUUCUUAAACUGUGUGAAAAGCUCAGAGACUAUUUUGGCCAGGAAGAGAGUGAAAGGGCUAAGUGUAGCAGUCUGUGUGCUUUCUUGUGGUUAGUUUUCCAUCACAGUCUCAAACAAUCCGCCUAAAAGCUUUAGAUAUAAAUAAGUUAGAAUAUAACAUUAGAUAGAAAUGCUGACUGAGGUGAAGAGGGGAGAUCAAACUUUUUUUCCAUGUGAAUGUCUUGGUCAGCAGUGAAAUUCCUCAUAAGGAACACAGGUGGUUCCUUCACAUAGAGAGGCCUGACUGCAAGAUGUACCUCAAGUCAGGAGGCGUAGCUUUGUUUUUCUUGAUAAGAAACAGUAGUUCUAUACAAAAUGGGUGGCUGCUUUAUCCACUGAACUGUUGUGUAGAACAGUGAGUGUGAUCACUAGAACUGCUAUAAAAAUGAUUUCCUGGGACUGAAUUGUAUUACUUACAGAAAUUGCAGCCUUACUUUAUCUCCUUUUGAGUCACAAUAAAGAGUCCCAUGCCGAUGUUAGUACUAGUGCCCUGUAAAUAGCAGUAAAAAUCUCCUACAACUCAUUUACAUACUUAUUUUCUGAAAACAAUUUUGUGACUUCUCUUGGAAGAGUCUGUGACAAAAGGAAUUGAAUAUUAGCAGUGAAAGAGAAUUUUUAAUUAAUUAUUCUAACUUACGCAGCUAGCAAUAUCAUCUCUCUCUGUUCACACUUCUGGACAUCACAAAAACAUAACCUUUACUGAUAAAAUUACAUUGACACAGCUGGUAUCUAAAUCUAAGUCUUUAGCACAUUUUUCAUUAAUAUGGGUAUUAAAAAACAUCUUGCACUUUCUGAAUAUUUUUUAGGACUGCUGAAAAGUUUUUGAGCCUUCUAUGCCUUUCUAUAUCUGUUCUUAAUGUUACCUCAGCAAAAUCUGAAGGGUUAUUUUGGCUAUUCUGUUUCCUGCAUAAUUUCAACAAGAUCACUUAGAUCUAUUUGUCAUAGAAAACUUUGUUUCUGCUAAGAAAAAAAUUAUAGCUUUAAUUAAAAGUGACAUCUAUCUAUCAAAUUAUUUUUUGUAACAUAUGACAAGUAUUCUAGGUCAAAGCUGAACUGAAGCUAAUAGUUGGUAACAGUUUCCAUCUACAUUAUUCCCUAAAGGCCUGAUGCAAGAUCGGUGCUAGUUUGUUUUGGAUUAAAUGGGUGAGGUAUUUGAUGUUUCACUCAAAGAAGUCUUUCUGUUGUGCUUAGUCAAAUUUAUCAGUUAUUAUGGGAGGAUUUAUACAAAUAUAUUCCCUUUUGUAGAAAAAUUUCAUUAUUCUGAUAACACCACAGAGAUGCUUUGAGUAGUUAAGAACUCUGUAUUUUAUGCAGUAUGAGGUGCAGCUGUCCAUGUGCUGGUAGUGUAAACAGCUCUGCAGACAUCAAGGUCAAUGAAGAAGUAGGAAGAAUGGAGAUGAUCCUGGCACUGGAGCAGUUUCUUCUGCAGCAGGUGGAUGACACAACAUGGGAGAGGACACAACAUGGAGGACUGCAGCUCGUGGAGAAGAAUUACUUUGAAUCAAGGGAUGAAUGUGAGGAGAGAGGAGUGGUAAAGAGAUGAACUGACCAUGACCAUCAUUCUCCUGCAUCGUGGCGAGGGAGGCAGUGGAGUCAGGAGUGUAGCAGUGAAAUUAAGCUAGAAAAGGAUUAUGGGGAGAAGUGGCUUAAAAGUGUUAAUUAUAUUGAGAAACAUAGAUAAUAGUUAUCUAUUUUACAUUGAUGGCUCUGAAAGCAAUGCCUCCUACUUAUUUCCAUGGGAACUACAACAGAUACAAAGAGAACAAUAAUCUGAUAGAGGAAGUUCUCAAGUACAAAACACUAUUUUUCAACAGUAGCCAUCAACAGCUCUGCAUUUUUGCUAGAGAUUAACAGGAGCCUGCAUGUCAUGCUCAUAAAAGGUUUGCACCAGUGGAGGUGACUUGCUGUUACACAGCUGCAAUGAUGGUGUCACUGUUAGGAAAAUGUUGCCCAUGCUGUUCAUCUUUCAUUAGUCCAAACAGUUAGAAAUCAGAAGGUGUCAAAUUUAGACCAUAUGGUGGGUGCAGUAGGACAGGUCAUCCAAGACUGGUGAUGUGCUUCACGGUCUUCAAUCCAGCAUGGGACCUUGCAUUAGCAUGUUUCAAAAGAAAGGUUGUUGUCUUCUCUGGACUUACUCUGGAGGUUUGAGCCUUCACCUUAGUCAGCAUCAUGAUGUAGUGGUAAGAACUGAUGCUUUGUCUGGGUUCCAGGAAAUCCAGAAGGAUCACUCCUUCACUAUCACAAACAAUCAUGCACAUAACUUUACUCACUUGAGGCUGCAUCUUGAACUCUUUCUCUUAUGGGAAGCUCAAAUAUCACUGCUCUAUGAAUUGCUGUUUUAACACCAGCUCAUAACAAUAAUGCAUCUUGUCAUGAGUAAUGAUCCAGGAAGCAUUGUUACCUUCAGCCUCAUACUGACAAACUUUUGUGCCAUGGUCUUUCUGUUUCUCUGUGAGCAUUCAUGGAACUCACCUGGUAAAAUUUUUUUUGCUAUUCUAAUGUUGCCACCAUUGUUUCUAACUCAUAGAAACCCAUAUUCUGAUCUGUACAUAGUUCUCUGGUUGUAAUCUGCCAAUUUCAGCAAAUGAGCUGAUUGAGAUGUUCUUCAUCUUGUCAUGAGGCAGCUGAAGGAUAUACCUCAGUUAAAAAAAAAAAAAAAAAAAAGGCAACUAUUAAUCAUUUCCUAUCAACUAAAAGAGUCAUUGUGCUUCACUUUUUCACCAGUCAUAAAGUUUAAGAUUCUAUCUGGGGGGAAAAAAACGGACAGUAUCAUUACUGCACAGUCAUCAUUCUGUCUGUAAGAUUAUUUUGAAGUUCAAGAUAGUUUUGUACAUAUAUAUAUAAAAAGAAUUAUAUUUAUCAAUUUUCUAAGAUAAAUGCUUAUAAUGCUGCCAUUCUGAAAUAUUUACAUGUUGUUCAAAUCCUUAAUAUCCUACUACACCAGAAAAUAAUGUAUUAAAG
rnacentral:lncRNA from 1 species